UACGGAAGGGGCAAGCGUUGUUCGGAAUCAUUGGGCGUAAAGGGCGCGUAGGUGGUUCUGUAUGUCUACCGUGAAAGCAUACAGCUCAACUGUAUUUUGUCGGUAGAAACUGCAGGACUUGAGGCUGGGAGGGGCUGGUGGAAUUCCCUGUGUAGCGGUGAAAUGCGUAGAGAUAUGGAGGAACACCAGUGGCGAAGGCGACUUUCUGGUCUGUAACUGACACUGAGGCGCGAAAGCGUGGGGAGCAAACAGG
rnacentral:rRNA from 1 species